rnacentral:rRNA from 1 species
UACAGAGGUCCCGAGCGUUGUUCGGAUUCAUUGGGCGUAAAGGGUGCGUAGGCGGCUUCCUAAGUUUGAUGUGAAAUCCUGGGGCUCAACCCUGGAACUGCAUUGAAUACUGGGAGGCUAGAGUACUGGAGAGGAAACUGGAAUUUACGGUGUAGCAGUGAAAUGCGUAGAUAUCGUAAGGAAGACCAGUGGCGAAGGCGGGUCUCUGGACAGUUCCUGACGCUGAGGCACGAAGGCCAGGGGAGCAAACGGG